GGAGACGUGGCCGAGUGGCUGAAGGCGGCGGUUUGCUAAACCGUUAGACGGGGUCAACCCGUCUCGGGGGUUCGAAUCCCCCCGUCUCCGCCA
rnacentral:tRNA from 1 species